AAUGAAAACAGAAGCUCUCUAUAUACUAAUUUCAACUAUAAAAUUUGUAGUCUUUACAAUAAAACAAUGUCAUGAUAAUUUUAUUUUCAAUACUCAAGCAAAAUCUACUAUGAAACAAUGGAUUUCUUCACUUCAAUUCAUCUGCCACUCUUUACGCACUUCCUUCUAUAGCUUUCUCUCCAAUUCAAUUAUGUAUUUGUUUAUUGGUAGCCUCUUGAAUGGGAUAAGAAAUGAUUGAUGUUGCAACCUAUUGUUUUUUAUAAAUGCACAACAAAUUAAUCAGAAAGUAGUUAAAAUUAGUAAUAAACCUCUUAGUUUACAAACAUACACAUUUUCAUAUAGUGAAUAUUACUAACAGUACAACUUCUUUGGAAGCAUCCUCUUCUUUAUACAGUAGAGGCAAUCAAUUGACGUACUCCAUUACUAACCUUCCAACUCAAGGAACAUGAAUAAUCAUUAAUAGAAAAUAUAAAACUUUAAAAGAGAAUGGUGUUGUUUGGCCAUCAAAUCUACAAGGAUCUUACCAUAAGAUGCCAGAUGCUAAACUUGCUCACUGUGACUCCAUAACAUACACAAAAGACUAACUACAUAUCAACAACCUUAUUUUUCACAUAAUCAAACAGUAAAUCUUUCACUAUACUUAAUUUUCAAACUAUUUUCUCAAAUCUUAAAACAUACAAAAAUACCAAAGCAUGUAAUAGGUAAAUCAUUUUCACUAUAGAGGCAAAUAAAGAUUGUCAAGAAAAGAUUGCUAUAAACUAGUAAAGCCAUCUCACCUAUAAUCAGCAAUAAUACUCCCAAAAUAGAAGCCCCCUAACAUUUGCAGAUUAGUGCCCUUUCUUUUAGAUGAAAGAACAAACUGGAACCAGCUAGUCAACUAAACUUCACACAUUUACACACCAUAGUCAGAUAUAAUUCCAAUCAGCAGAUAAAUUUCAUAAAUGAGCUGAAACCCAAUAAUCAACAUGUCUGCAGGGAAACAAAACAUAAGGCACUCUGAGUCCUCAUGAAAUUAUACAAACACAUGGUUAAACGAAGGGAAAUAAAACUACUUCCGCUGAACUUUGAGCAACAGAUGUAGUUAAUUAAAUAAAGAAUUCAAAAAAGUUGAUAUGGUACACAUCAUAACAAUAUGUAUCAACAGGAUAAUGAGAUGUCAAUUUUACGUUUGAUUAGGUUCUGCACUAAAACAAACAUAUAAAGCUUACCCUUCGACAAACACUGCAGAGUCCUCUCAAUUAAAUCAUCCACAAUACUAACAGUAGAAAGCUUUGUUAUAUGUAUAAUUUUCUGACUCCUCCCAAAGAUAAUUGAACUCAGCAAAUUUGGCAUCUAUAUAAGAGUAGGCAAGGAAGGAUAGUCAUAAGGAAUAGUAUCAACAACCAAGCAGGUUGUAUCAUCCUUCAAACCUCGUGACUUUAGAUCUUCCUGAAUUAUAAGACACUCCAGAAUCUCCUUAGAUGAUUAUUCAAACUAAAAGAACAAUGCUCUGUUUCUCCGGAUGCAGAAAUUGACAAAAUAGAAGCGAAAAUAGAACAAAUCCAACAAAUUAGACGAUUUCAUCUUCUUCGAGUACAUACACUAUCGAUUCCCAACUAUAGAGUACCAAUCAUUAGCCAGUACCAAAAUGGCAAAAUCCACAAUAUAUUAUAAUAAUAAAAUAAAAGAGGGCAACCAUUUUAAAUGCAUUUAAUUAGAAAUUUAGUCGAGUGAACAAAAUAGAAUUAAACACUUACCCAAAAAUGCAGUACCCUUGAUCAAAACAUAAAUAGAUCAGGGUGCUGAAAGUUAUAUUUGUUUUAUCUA
rnacentral:lncRNA from 1 species